UACAGAGGUCUCAAGCGUUGUUCGGAUUCAUUGGGCGUAAAGGGUGCGUAGGUGGCGCGCUAAGUCAGGUGUGAAAUUUCGGAGCUUAACUCCGAAACUGCAUUUGAUACUGGCGUGCUUGAGGACUGGAGAGGAGACUGGAAUUCACGGUGUAGCAGUGAAGUGCGUAGAUAUCGUGAGGAAGACCAGUGGCGAAGGCGGGUCUCUGGACAGUUCCUGACACUGAGGCACGAAGGCCAGGGGAGCAAACGGG
rnacentral:rRNA from 1 species